ensembl:lncRNA novel transcript
CCAAGUUUAACGUGUGUGCUCCACUCCUCCAACCUGGCCAAAGGGCAGUCAUCAUCACUGGCCACUACUGACCACAGCCUUUAGAAACUCCCCUUGAACGUGCUGGGCUGACCUUCCUCUGAUCACAGGCAAGGCAAAGGAAAACGACAGGCCCUUGCCUUCCCGGUCCUCAAGGGUCAGCUGUAAGAUGAUGUCAUAAAGCCGGAUCAGGUCCUGGGGCCGGGGGGAAGCACUUGCUGUCAUCCUCUGGCUGCUGCUGCAGCAGAGCCCUCUGCAGACCUUUGGCCAUGCUCUCAUUACACUUGAUUGCCAUUGACAGCUUGAUGUAAGUCAGGUGAACAAAUAGAAGCUGAGGGUGAAGGACCUACAGCUGUCACCUUUAUCUCUUCUCAACACUGCCAACUGUCCCCUUGGAUCUCCCAGACAGACAACAAGGGACAUCUCUGGUUUCUCGGUGCCCCCUAGAAACCUCGGGUCAUUUCAAGGCAUUAUGCAAAUGAGAAGCUUUCCUUCUCUUCACCUCAUCUCCUGAUCUGCACAAAAGUGACUGUAGGACCCAGUGUUGUAGAUGAGCAUGAGAGUGUGGAGCAGAGUCGGCGAGCGCAAGUCGAGCCCAUCAACCUGGACAGCUGUCUCCGUGCUUUCACCGGUGAGGAAGAGCUAGGGGAAGAUGAGAUGUACUACUGUUCCAAGUGUAAGACCCACUGCUUAGCAACAAAGAAGCUGGAUCUCUGGAGGCUUCCACCCUUCCUGAUUAUUCACCUUAAGUGAUUUCAGUUUGUAAAUGAUCAGUGGAUAAAAUCACAGAAAAUUGUCAAAUUUCCUCGGGAAAGUUUUGACCUGAGUGCUUUUUUGGUACCACGAGACCCGGCUCUCUGCCAGCAUCAACCACUCACACCCCAGGGGGAUGAGCUCUCCAAGCCCAGGAUUCUGGCAAGAGAGGUGAAGAAAGUGGAUGUGCAGAGUUUGGCUGGGGAAUAGGACAUGCUCCUGAGCAAAAGCCCAUCCUCACUCAGCGCUAACAUCAGCAGCAGCCCAAAAGAGAUGGUGCUUCGCCAUGUUUCCCAGGCUGGGCUCGAACUCCUGCACCCAAGUGAACCUCCUGCUUCGGCCUCCUAAACUGCUGGGAUUACAGGUUCUCCUUCUUCAUCAAGAAAAAGUGGAACCAGCUGUCCCUCCAGCAAAAACAGCAGCCCUAAUAGCAGCCCACGGACUUUGGGGAGGAGCAAAGGGAGGCUCUGGCUGCCCCAGAUUGGCAGCAAAAAUAAACUGUCAAGUAGUAAGAAGAACUUGGAUGCCAGCAAAGAGAAUGGGGCUGGGCAGAUCUGUGAGCUGGCUGACGCCUUGAGCCGAGGGCAUAUGCGGGGGGUGGGCAGCCAACCAGAGCUGGUCACUCCUCAGGACCAUGAGGUAGCUUUGGCCAAUGGAUUCCUUUAUGAGCAUGAAGCAUAUGGCAAUGGCUAUAGCAAUGGUCAGCUUGGAAACCACAGUGAAGAAGACAGCACUGAUGACCAAAGAGAAGACACUCAUAUUAAGCCUAUUUAUAUGCAAUUUCAUGCCAUUCAGGAAUUCUGAGUGGGGGCCAUUACGUCACUUAUGCCAAAAACCCAAACUGCAAGUGGUACUGCUACAAUGGCAGCAUCUGUGAGGAACGUCACCCUGAUGAAAUUGACACCAACUCUGCCUACAUUCUUUUCUAUGAGCAGCAGAGGAUAGACUACGCACAAUUUCUGCCAAAGAUUGAUGGCAAAAAGAUGGCAGACACAAGCAGUAUGGAUGAAGACUUUGAGUCUGAUUACAAAAAGUACUGUGUGUUACAGCAAAGCUACCACUCUGGCUGCUAGACAGCUUGGUGGGGAGGGAGAUGACUCCUUGUAGCUGAUACUUGGCAAAGAUGUCACUGAGAGGCAAGCUAAAUGUAGUUAUUUUAUCCUGUUAGAAUACAAAUUCUAAUUAAAAUAGUUAACUUUAAGAGUAGUAGUAAUUUUAUUUUGAAGUCUCAUGCAAGUUGUCUGAUAGAGAACUUUCAGGCAGAUCCCACCAUUAGCCUGUAAACAAAAGGUUUGGCACCAGCCACCUGGGACCAAAUAAGAAUUCAAUUGUGCUUGUCCAGAUAUGAACAAAUAUGUAGUGAGUAUAGAGUUUAUCAAUAAUCAUAACAAAUAUUAAAGAUUUCCUUGGAGUCAAAGUAAAAAACAAAAAAUUAUAAUGUUGUCUAGGGAUGACAUGAUAUGCUACCUCCUUUUUCCUGAAGUUUUAUUCCAUUCUGUUGACAAGAUGGAGAAAGCAAGAUCAUGAAGGUGUGCAAAUGAUUCUUACGGCAUGGGCGAGGAUUUUUCAAUUUAUUUUUUAAAGUUUCCAUACCCUUUCUUUGUCUUUCUUGCUUUUUGUUUUUGCCUUUGUGUUUAUGUUUGAGAUACAACCAGUCAUUGGUGGCAGGGGCAUAGAGUGGUCAGUCUGAAAGGGAGGCUCUCUUAAGAGCUAUGUGCCUUCCACCCAGAGGGAGACCCAGUAGAAAGAAAAACAUCCUGGGAAAUCCAGCUACCAUGGCCCUCCCAGUGGAGGCAUCUUACAUUUAGGAUACUUCAAGUAUCCUCAGAAAUGUAUUCUGCACCCCCGGCCCCGCCCAUGCUGAGGGAAGGGGAGCAGUUGCCAAUAUUUGCACCAUCUUCACAUGCACAUGUUGCAACAAGAGCUUCUGGGAAGGUAAGCAGCAUCGGAGCUAGAUCACGUUUCACAAUUAGUGGUUGUUCUUUUCCGUGUUUAUUUUGCACUUUAAAAAAGAGAGAACGCAUGCAAAUGAACUUGCUUGUGUGUAUUUGAUGGCUCUAAGGGCUAUAAAUUACAAACAAAACACAUCCCAGACAUUAGGAGUUCAUAAGUAUAUUUAAUGAAAUUGGUGGUUUUAGGAAGUCAACUUUAGUUUUGCUUUGUUUGCAUGUCCACUAAUUUUUUUAUUUUGAUAUUAGUCUUUUUUAAAAAAUUUUACAGUAGUCAUUGAAAGUUAUGUUUCUUUGUUUACUUCAUUUUUUCCUCUAAUUAUUCAAGACUGGCACAAAAGUAUAAAUAUUAUUUAUUUCAGGUAGAAUUUUUUUCGUGUAGUUUUUUAAUAUAUACUUGAAGGAAAUGUUUCACCUUAUUUUUGGUCUUUGUUUAUUCAUUUAGACCCUGCAAGUUGAUUCUCAUUAAUUGUCAGAUUCCACUACACUUUCUUCCUCAUAGGUAGUAAUUACCAGUGUAACUAAGCAUUUGUGUUCUGAUAUCUGAGGCCAGUAACUAUUAAUGUCUAGUUCUCAGAGCAUUUGGAAAGGUUAUCUUAAAUGGCUACCUAAAUUGAAAUCCUUUUCAGAAAAAAUAUAAUUGCAAAUAGGUAGGAGUGGCCUAAAUUAUCUAAUGUAAUAAAGUCAGACAAAAUGCAUACUUUAUAGUUUCAAGAUUUUCAGUACAUAAAAUCUGUCCUUUCCUACCUGGACAUGUCCCAUUAAAAAGUGGGAGAUUUUAAAUAAUUUCUUUACAGAUGUUUUAUUUAAGCAGGUAGCACAAUCUACUAAUGUUGUUUGAUCUGUGUUUGUUAUACUGGUUGUAAUUAAUUUUUUUAAUUCAUGAACUAGCGGAAAAUUUAUUAAAUUAACUAUUAACCACAUUCACCUUGUAAAUGACUGUAUAAAACUUGUUGACAAUGCACUGACUUUAGAAAGAUGUUAAUGUGCAUAAAUAGAGUGUAAAUAAAAUAGUGUUGAUGUACUGAAAUAUGAACUGUAUAAAAAGUAUUGGUAAUUGUAUAUGGGGUGUACCUAUUUAUCUGUAACUAUUAUCCAAACAAAUUAAAUACUGUGGAUGCCUCUA